UGACCUCAGUUCAGGU
rnacentral:rRNA from 1 species